ACCUUCCUGGUGUAGUGGUCAGCACGUUCGACUCGUAUUCGAGAGCUUCGUGGUUCGAGUCCCAGAGAGGGCA
rnacentral:tRNA from 1 species